CAGAUUCAGAUUCAUCUUCCCUGCAAAAGAAUGGUAUUUGAUGCAAGUGCACCACGUAUACAAGGUCUUGAUCUCAAAUCUUUCCAAGAUCCAAGCAGAAAAACAGGUAGACAGUACUAAUUUAUAAGAUCCUAUCCUAUGUAACUUUCCCAUGAUUUAGCUUAUUUCAGAUGCAGCAAACACAAUGCAAUUUUUUGCCUUCUUCCUAGGCUUUCCCUCAUUUUUAAGUGUUUGAAAGAAAUGCCGAAGAACAACAUGGAUGAGAGGAAUAUUCAUGUAGGUCAGCAUUGCAAUAGUUGCCACCAAUUUUGCGUUGACUUCCAUCCUGCUCAAUUUUGUUUUCCCAUGGUAUGAUGCACUUUCCUCUGCCAAAUGCCACAAUAUCACACUUUUAGCAUGCAAAUAAAUGCUUGUUUGCUUUCA